AGGCUGUAGCCAAAUUAAUUAACGUGGAAGUAAAACUGGUCGGGUUGCCAAUUGAUUCCAUGGGCAUUCCGCUUACCGAACUUCCCAUAUGU
rfam:Oryza barthii chromosome 5, whole genome shotgun sequence.